rnacentral:rRNA from 1 species
AUUGAACGCUGGCGGCAUGCUUUACACAUGCAAGUCGAACGGUAACAGGCCUUCGGGUGCUGACGAGUGGCGAACGGGUGAGUAAUGCAUCGGAACGUGCCCAGAGGUGGGGGAUAACGCAGCGAAAGCUGUGCUAAUACCGCAUGUGAUCUGAGGAUGAAAGCGGGGGACCAGGCAGCAAUGUUUGGCCUCGCGCCUUUGGAGCGGCCGAUGUCAGAUUAGGUAGUUGGUGGGGUAAAGGCCUACCAAGCCGACGAUCUGUAGCUGGUCUGAGAGGACGACCAGCCACACUGGGACUGAGACCCGGCCCAGACUCCUACGGGAGGCAGCAGUGGGGAAUUUUGGACAAUGGGCGCAAGCCUGAUCCAGCAAUGCCGCGUGCGGGAAGAAGGCCUUCGGGUUGUAAACCGCUUUUGUACGGAACGAAAAGGCUCUGGCUAAUACCUGGGGCUGAUGACGGUACCGUAAGAAUAAGCACCGGCUAACUACGUG